AGGCAGCAGCUCUCAGAUACCGCAGGGUGCCACCCACGCAGCGGAGCUCGGGCGUCACUUUGCAAAUGUCUCGCCUCAUCUAGGAAUUAGUUUUGGAGCAUGUCUUGGACUACAGAUUGUUAUCUGGGAAGCUGGUGGAUUUAGUAGCUUAAUUAAUGCUGGACUCGCUGCCAGUUUUUCAUAAAACAUUCAGAAGAGAAACGAGAAGGCAGGCACCAGGGGAACAGAGACAGAGCAAAGCGGUGGGGAACGUGAGGCUUGGCCUCGAAGCAAGAGUCAGCAAGGGACAAGAGCCAGAAUUGCAAACCCAAAUUCAUCCAGCACUCCAGCCUGUGCUCUUCACCCACUGUCACCGUUAUCUGCGCACACCCAAGGUGUGCGGGAGUCAUCGGAUCCCUUUCUGCUCUGGGAUUCCAGUCUUUUGCCUCCCUGUGGAAUGUUGUAUCACACACUGCUCCCAUGUGUCUCCCAGUGUUUUGGUGGCAUGUCCAUGCAACCCAGAAGGUUUAGCCAUCUGGCAGCUGGGGUGUUUAGUCUUUAAGUGAUUCUCCCCCUGCUGUAGGAAGCUGCGCCAAUUUGGGGGUUAGAAAAUUGGUAGAAGUAAAAAACAGAGGGAUGGCUGAUUUCCUGUCCUCUUAGGAGGAUACUAGGCUCAGGGGCCCUAAAGGAAAAGGGGGCUCAGUGGGCAAUGAUCUCCUUUCCCUUCCACAGGCAUAGACCCCAUGCUUGGCACUGUAAGGAAGCCCCCCCAUCUCUAUUGGGAGUAUUGAUUUCUCCAAUUCUGGGGUCUCAACUUGUGAAUAUAGAUGGAAAAAAAAUUACACUGUUGCCACCCUCACCUCACUGAAAUUUAGCAUUCUGUUCAAUUGUAGAGGUAGACAACAAAUCACAGUAGUAUAUGCAGAACCUGUGAUUUUGUUGCUAACAGAAUCCAUAUAUUUUCAUAGCACAUUUCCGAUGUCAUGGAUAGCUUGGGACCAUGUACACCAAACACUGCUUCCAAAUGAUGGUAGCCAUUAGACCUGCUGCUGGAUUUUGUUAUUUAAUGAGUGCAUGUGUAUUGCUAUAGCACAAUUCGAAAUAAUUUUAAUAAUUGUAUUUACAUAUAAUUUUCUUUUGAA